ACGUGAGUAACCUGCCCUGGACUUUGGGAUAACCCUCGGAAACGGGGGCUAAUACCGGAUACGACACACCGAUGCAUGUCGUGUGUGUGGAAAGUUUUUCGGUCUGGGAUGGGCUCGCGGCCUAUCAGCUUGUUGGUGGGGUGAUGGCCUACCAAGGCGACGACGGGUAGCCGGCCUGAGAGGGCGACCGGCCACACUGGGACUGAGACACGGCCCAGACUCCUACGGGAGGCAGCAGUGGGGAAUAUUGCACAAUGGGCGGAAGCCUGAUGCAGCGACGCCGCGUGAGGGAUGACGGCC
rnacentral:rRNA from 1 species